CCUACGGGGUGCAGCAGUGAGGAAUAUUGGUCAAUGGGCGCGAGCCUGAACCAGCCAAGUAGCGUGAAGGAUGACUGCCCUACGGGUUGUAAACUUCUUUUGUGAAGGAAUAAGGUGAGGCACGUGUGCCUUUUUGUAUGUACUUUAUGAGUAAGAGUCGGCUAACUCCGUGCCAGCAGCCGCGGUAAUACGGAGGAUACGAGCGUUAUCCGGAUUUAUUGGGUUUAAAGGGAGCGUAGAUGGGUUGUUAAGUCAGUUGUGAAAGUUUGCGGCUCAACCGUAAAAUUGCAAUUGAUACUGGCAGCCUUGAGUACAGUUGAGGUAGGCGGAAUUCGUGGUGUAGCGGUGAAAUGCUUAGAGAUCACGAAGAACUCCGAUUGCGAAGGCAGCUUACUAAACUGCCACUGACAUUGAUGCUCGAAAGUGUGGGUAUCAAACAGGAUUAGAUACCCGAGUAGUC
rnacentral:rRNA from 1 species